UACGUAGGGGGCUAGCGUUGUCCGGAAUCAUUGGGCGUAAAGCGCGCGUAGGCGGCCCGGUAAGUCCGCUGUAAAAGUCAAAGGCUCAACCUUUGAAUGUCAGUGGAUACUGCCGGGCUAGAGUCCGGAAGAGGCGAGUGGAACUCCUGGUGUAGCGGUGAAAUGCGCAGAUAUCAGGAGGAACACCAUGUGCAAGGCAGCUCGCUGGGACGUUACUGACGCUGAGACGCGAAAGCGUGGGGAGCAAACAGG
rnacentral:rRNA from 1 species